GGGGUUUAAGUUCUUACGAAAUGGAUAUUUACCGUAAUCCAUUUAGCAAUUAGGAUUAUCUCCGUUUGUGGGAGCUUGGCAGGGAGAGGACGCAGCGGCCUGGACACUUUGCGGGAGAAAGAGGGAUGGCCCGAGGUUUCUAAAAGGAGGCACAUUCUUUACCAGCUGAGCCAUCAGGGAAACCCGAGAGACGGAACCACUUAAGAAGUCAGGGGCCGUCUUGGUGAGAGUGAUGCGAACUGCCUUGACAAAGACGCCGCAGAAUUUUGUCAACUUAUCGCAGCCGCAGCUGACUCCUCGUUUCAAUUACUCAUCCGUUCCAGGUGUUCCUGCUUGGGGAGAUUUCUUCCAAGUGGGCCUAACUGUAGAGCACAGAAAACUACAUUCAAUAGCCUGUAAUAACCUGUGAGUGGAAAAGAAUCUGAAAAAGCGUGUAUGUGUAACUGAAGCACUCUGCUCACGCUAGAAGCUAACCCAACGAUGUGAAUCUACCAUGUAAGUGCAGUGAAAAUGCAAGUGUCGGUCGCUCAGUCGUGUCCGACGCUCAGUCGUGUCCGACGCUUUGCGACCCCGUGGACUGUAGCCCCGCCGGGCUCCUCUGUCCGUGGAAUUCUCCAGGCAAGAAUGCCUGGAGGAGGGAGUGUCAUUCCCUCCUCCAGGGAUCCCUCAUCCUGAUCCAGGGAGAGAACCCAGCUCUCCUGCAUUGCAGGCAGAUUCUGCACCCUCUGAGCCACAAUGGAUGCCAACAUUAUAAAUAAAUGACACUUCAAUGUGAAAAAUUUUUUUAAAUGUGAAUCUCAUUCAGAAACACUCUAUACCAGACACACGUAGAAUCAUGUUUUACCAAAUAUCUGGGCACUUUGUGGGCCCAUCAAGACACAGAAAAGUAACCUUCAUAAUGUGUGUGUGUGUGUGUGUGUGCAUCUUAUAAUGUGCUAAGCACCGAGCCAAAUAAAAG
ensembl:lncRNA